GACGAACGCUGGCGGCGUGCUUAACACACGCAAGUCGAGCGGUAAGGCUCCUUCGGGAGUACACGAGCGGCGAACGGGUGAGUAACACGUGAGUAAUCUGCCCUUCACUUUGGGAUAAGCCUCGGAAACGAGGUCUAAUACCGAAUACGACCACUUCCUGCAUGGGAUGGUGGUGGAAAGUUUUUUCGGUGGAGGAUGUGCUCGCGGCCUAUCAGCUUGUUGGUGGGGUAAUGGCCUACCAAGGCUUCGACGGGUAGCCGGCCUGAGAGGGUGACCGGCCACACUGGGACUGAGAUACGGCCCAGACUCCUACGGGAGGCAGCAGUGGGGAAUAUUGCACAAUGGGCGCAAGCCUGAUGCAGCGACGCCGCGUGAGGGAUGACGGCCUUCGGGUUAUAAACCUCUUUCAGCACCGACGAAGCGCAAGUGACGGUAGGUGCAGAAGAAGGACCGGCCAACUACGUGCCAGCCGCCGCCGUAAGAC
rnacentral:rRNA from 1 species